GGGGUGUAUUUAUUAGAUAAAAAACCAAUGCCCUUCGGGGCUCUUUGGUGAUUCAUGAUAACUUAACGGAUCGCAUGGCCUUGCGCCGGCGACGGUUCAUUCAAAUUUCUGCCCUAUCAACUUUCGAUGGUAAGGUAUUGGCUUACCAUGGUUUCAACGGGUAACGGAUUUUUAGGGAAAGAUCCCGGAGAGGGAGCCUGAGAAACGGCUACCACAUCCAAGGAAGGCAGCAGGCGCGCAAAUUACCCAAUCCCGACACGGGGAGGUAGUGACAAUAAAUACUGAUACAGGGCUCUUUUGGGUCUUGUAAUCGGAAUGAGUACAAUUUAAAUACCUUAACGAGGAACAAUUGGAGGGCAAGUCUGGUGCCAGCAGCCGCGGUAAUUCCAGCUCCAAUAGCGUAUAUUAAAGUUGUUGCAGUUAAAAAGCUCGUAGUUGAACCUUGGGCCUGGCUGGCUGGUCCGCCUCACCGCGUGUACUGGUCCGGCCGGGCCUUUCCUUCUGGAGAACCGCAUGCCCUUUACUGGGUGUGUCGGGGAACCAGGACUUUUACUUUGAGAAAAUUAGAGUGUUCAAAGCAGGCCUUUGCUCGAAUACGUUAGCAUGGAAUAAUAGAAUAGGACGUGCGGUCCUAUUUUGUUGGUUUCUAGAACCGCCGUAAUGAUUAAUAGGGAUAGUCGGGGGCGUCAGUAUUCAAUUGUCAGAGGUGAAAUUCUUGGAUCUAUUGAAGACUAACUACUGCGAAAGCAUUCGCCAAGGAUGUUUUCAUUAAUCAGUGAACGAAAGUUAGGGGAUCGAAGACGAUCAGAUACCGUCGUAGUCUUAACCGUAAACUAUGCCGACUAGGGAUCGGGCGAUGUUUCUAUAUUGACUCGCUCGGCACCUUA
rnacentral:rRNA from 1 species